CCUACGGGAGGCAGCAGUGAGGAAUAUUGGUCAAUGGACGCAAGUCUGAACCAGCCAUGCCGCGUGAAGGAUGAAGGCCUUCUGGGUUGUAAACUUCUUUUAUUGGGGAAGAAAACUACGGUUUCUACUGUAGCCGACGGUACCCAAGGAAUAAGCACCGGCUAACUCCGUGCCAGCAGCCGCGGUAAU
rnacentral:rRNA from 1 species